UUAGGGUAGGAGUACCCAUUAAGCCCAUGCACCCUUUAAGCCCACUUUUAACUUUGAUGUCAAUUUACAAAAAAAGGAAAACAUAUAUUUUGUCAUCAAUUAUUUCAUCCAAUCAAAUGGUUUGUUACUUCUAUCACAUUUUUUAUUGCACACCAAUCACAUUUUCCAUUGUUGAGUUAGCCCCGCCCAAAUGUAUAUAGGUUCGGGACCCCUGACAAGAAGACAGCCAAAAACUUUGGUGUUUUGGGACCUGUCAGAAAUUAUCAAAUUUCAUCAAUUUUCAGCCACAUCUUUGCAAGGAAAUGUCAAAGAGAAAAAACUACAGCACAUGUCCAAAGAUG